rnacentral:rRNA from 1 species
CCUUAGAGUUUGAUCCUGGCUCAGAGCGAACGCUGGCGGCAGGCUUAACACAUGCAAGUCGAGCGGGCACCUUCGGGUGUCAGCGGCAGACGGGUGAGUAACACGUGGGAACGUGCCCAUCGGUUCGGAACAACCCAGGGAAACUUGGGCUAAUACCGGAUACCACCUUACGGUGAAAGAUUUAUCGCCGAUGGAUCGGCCCGCGUCUGAUUAGCUUGUUGGUGAGGUAACGGCUCACCAAGGCGACGAUCAGUAGCUGGUCUGAGAGGAUGAUCACCCACACUGGGACUGAGACACGGCCCACACUCCUACGGGAGGCAGCAGUGGGGAAUAUUGGACAAUGGGCGAAAGCCUGAUCCAGCCAUGCCGCGUGAGUGAUGAAGGCCUUAGGGUUGUAAAGCUCUUUCGACGGGGACGAUAAUGACGGUACCCGUAAAAGACCCCCCGGCUAACUUCGUGCCAGCAGCCGCGAUAAUACGAAGGGGGCUAGCGUUGCUCGGAAUCACUGGGCGUAAAGGGCGCGCAGGCGGCCGAUCAAGUC